CAGUGAUCAAGAUCAACAAUAACCAGCGUUAUGCCACGACAGCCGUCACUGUCUCUGUGGUCAGAGAGAUCGCCAGCCGGGUCGGCGUGCCUCUGCAGGACAUGAUGGUCCGUAACGACAGCCCCUGUGGAACCACCAUCGGACCCAUCCUGGCCUCCCGCCUCGGCAUCCCUGUGUUGGACAUCGGAGGGCCGACGCUCUCCAUGCACUCCAUCAGAGAGAUGUGCUGCACCUCCAGCGUCCUGCAGAGCAUCACCCUCUUUAAGGGUUUCUUCGAGUUGUUCCCCGCAGUGAGGAGCACGCUGGCUGUCGACUAGAGCCGACGAGACCGUAACUGGUGGUGACAGAGGAUGUCAACUUCAACACAUGAUAAUCUCAUUUUUGCAAACACAUGUUCUUCUUGAAAAUCACAAAUCCUUUCUUGAAAAAUGAUUUCUCAGCUGCAGACAAUGUUUCAUUGAUCAUCCAUAGGAUGCUGUUAUUAACUUCCAAUUAAAAAAAGAAAUCACACAUACACAUCGCCGUACACAAGCGCUUCUUGAUCUUUCUUAUGAAAUUGUUUGAAAAAAAAAUAAAACAUUGAAAGCUUAUCCUAAA